rnacentral:rRNA from 1 species
AUACGUAGGGGGCGAGCGUUGUCCGGAAUGACUGGGCGUAAAGGGUGUGUAGGCGGCGGUGUAAGUCUGGAGUGAAAGUCCCGCAUUCAAUGUGGGAAUUGCUUUGGAUACUGCAGUGCUAGAGUGCGGAAGAGGUAAGUGGAAUUCCCAGUGUAGCGGUGAAAUGCGUAGAGAUUGGGAGGAACACCAGUGGCGAAGGCGACUUACUGGGCCGUAACUGACGCUGAGGCGCGAAAGCGUGGGGAGCGAACAGGAUUAGAUACCCUGGUAGUCCACGCGGUAAACGAUGAAUGCUAGGUGUAGGAGGUAUCGACCCCUUCUGUGCCGCAGUAAACACAGUAAGCAUUCCGCCUGGGGAGUACGGCCGCAAGGUUGAAACUCAAAUGAAUUGACGGGG